AAGACCCUGUAGGAGCUGGUCACGUGAUCUGCUAAAAUCUAGCAGAUUUCUAAUCAACUAUCUUGGAUUCCUUUAAUCAAACUUGCAAAAUAAAAUGCAAGUUAUAAAUUAAAGUAUAAAUAUUUUUCAUCAUCAUCAUCAUCCAUUAAAAUCACGUGACCAGCUCCUACCAGGGUCUU